CCUACGGGGCGCAGCAGUGGGGAAUAUUGCACAAUGGGGGAAACCCUGAUGCAGCGACGCCGCGUGAGUGAAGAAGUAUUUUGGUAUGUAAAGCUCUAUCAGCAGGGAAGAUAAUGACGGUACCUGACCAAGAAGCCCCGGCUAACUACGUGCCAGCAGCCGCGGUAAUACGUAGGGGGCAAGCGUUAUCCGGAUUUACUGGGUGUAAAGGGGGCGCAGACGGCAAUGCAAGCCAGGAGUGAAAGCCCGGGGCCCAACCCCGGGACUGCUCUUGGAACUGCAUGGCUGGAGUACAGGAGGGGCAG
rnacentral:rRNA from 1 species